CGUGCAAACGUUGUUCGGAAUCACUGGGCUUAAAGGGCGCGUAGGCGGCUCGCCAAGUCAGGGGUGAAAUACUUCAGCUUAACUGGAGAAGUGCCCUUGAUACUGGCGGGCUCGAGGGAGGUAGGGGUCUGUGGAACUUCUGGUGGAGCGGUGAAAUGCGUAGAUAUCGAGAGGAACACCUGCGGCGAAGGCGGGUUGCUGGGCCGACACUGACGCUGAGGCGCGAAAGCCAGGGGAGCGAACGGG
rnacentral:rRNA from 1 species